AGUGAACGCUGGCGGUAGGCCUAACACAUGCAAGUCGAACGGCAGCACAGUAAGAGCUUGCUCUUACGGGUGGCGAGUGGCGGACGGGUGAGGAAUACAUCGGAAUCUACUUUUUCGUGGGGGAUAACGUAGGGAAACUUACGCUAAUACCGCAUACGACCUAGGGGUGAAAGCAGGGGAUCUUCUGACCUUGCGCGAUUGAAUUAGCCGAUGUCGGAUUAGCUAGUUGGCGGGGUAAAGGCCAACGAAGGCGACGAUCCGUAGCUGGUCUGAGAGGAGGAUCAGCCACACGGGAACUGAGACACGGUCCAGACUCCUACGGGAGGCAGCAGUGGGGAAUAUUGGACAAUGGGCGCAAGCCUGAUCCAGCCAUACCGAGUGGGUGAAGAAGGCCUUCGGGUUGUAAAGCCCUUUUGUUGGGAAAGAAAAGCAGCAGGUUAAUACCCCGCUGUUCUGACGGUACCCAAAGAAUAAGCACCGGCUAACUUCGUG
rnacentral:rRNA from 1 species